AAAGAGAUUACUCUACAUCCAACUGAGGGCGCAAUCGCUCCUCAGAAUUCUUUCUUCAGACAAAACAACAAAAAUAAAAUACGCUCCAAAUCCCAAUUGCCCAAACCCUAACCCUACCUCUUCCACCGCCAUGGCCAAGAAACGAAAGCUUCGAUCCUCAGACCCUGAACCCGCCAAACCCAUCGAGCCACAGCAACAAGACCAAGAACCAGAGGAACAACUCGACCAGCAAGAGCAACCCAAUCCCGAACCAACCUUAGAAGAGCCCAACACCAUGGCCGUCGACGAACCAACAGAGGAACAGCAGCAAGAACAGCAAAUCGCCGAAGGUCAAGAAGAGGAAGAGGAAUUAGAGGAGCAACAGGAGCAGGAGCCAGAAACCCUAGAAGAGCAACAGGAGCCGGAAGCUCUAGAAGCUGCGAACCACGCCGAAGCAAACGGUGCUGGAGAAGAAGAGAACAACGAAGAGGAAGAUGAGGAUCUCAGUCUUGAAGACGAGCCCGUGGAGAAACUUCUCGAACCAUUCACGAAGGAGCAGCUGCAUGCUCUUGUGAAGCAGGCCGUGGAGAGGUUCCCUGAAUUUGUCGAGAGCGUACGCCAGCUCGCCGAUGUGGACCCCGCACACCGGAAGAUCUUCGUCCACGGCCUCGGCUGGGACGCCACUGCCGAAACCCUAACUUCCGUGUUUGGGAAAUACGGCGAGAUCGAGGACUGCAAGGCCGUCACCGACAAAGUCUCUGGCAAAUCGAAGGGUUACGCUUUCAUCCUUUUCAAGCACAGGGAUGAUGCUCGCAAGGCGCUGAAAAAUCCCCAGAAGAAAAUUGGAAACCGUACCACUUCUUGUCAGCUGGCCUCUGCUGGCCCUGUUCCGGCGCCCCCGCCGAACGCCAAUCCGGUUUCUGAGUAUACGCAGCGGAAGAUAUUUGUGAGCAACGUGAGUGCUGAGAUUGAUCCCCCAAAACUGCUUGAUUUCUUCAAGCAAUUUGGGGAGGUUGAGGAUGGUCCUCUUGGGCUGGACAAGAACACCGGGAAACCUAAGGGUUUCGCUCUGUUUGUUUAUAGGUCUGUGGAAAGUGCUAAAAAGGCUUUGGAAGAACCUCAUAAGAACUUUGAAGGCCAUACUUUGUAUUGUCAGAAGGCUGUCGAUGGUCCCAAGGGGAACAAAGGGUAUCAUCAGUAUCACCAUCAGCAGCAUUCCCAUCAUCAUCACCAUCACCAUCAUCAGCCUCAUUAUCAGAGAAAGGAGAAGAACAAGUAUUCCUCUGGGGGAGGUGGUCCGUCCCAUGGCAGUGGUCAUUUGAUGGCCCCCUCGGCGUCUGCUGUGGGGGGUUUCAACCCGGGCGUGCCGGCUCAAGGGUUGAAUCCUGCUCUUGGACAGGCGCUAACGGCUUUGCUCACUAACCAGGGAGCUGGAUUAGGUCUUGGAAAUCUGCUUGGAGGACUUGGUGGUGCCCCCGUUAACCAGGCGGGGCCACCUGCCCCGUAUGGGAAUCAGCCUGCUAUGGGAUAUGGGAACCAGCCAGCAAUGCAACAGGGAUACCAGAAUCCUCAAAUGGGUCAGAGCAGUGCUGUCAGACCCCACCCUGGUGCGGGCGCUCCUUACAUGGGUCAUUAGAUACCCUCAUAAGAUGCAUCAAUCAUUUAGUUUUGGACUCCGCUGAUUCUUCUGAAGUACCAGCUUGGAACCUUCCAUUCACUUCUUUGGCAAGAAAUGGCCACACUUGGUGGGUGGGUUGGCUCUCACUGUAUUCAAGUGUACCGGGGGUUGGAGUGAAUGUCAGAGAAGAUCAGAUGGGUGCGAUGGUGUUAUCAUCUUUGCAGUUAUCCAUGGCUUGACAAGGCAAUUGGCACAAGCGAGAACUGCACAUCUGACUCAAACAACCGGAGAUAUUACAUGGCAAUCAAGAAGAUUAGUGAUAAUACUUGGAAAACAAAAUACUUAAUGUUUGUUACAUCUUGUUAGAGCUCCGAUAAAUUUGGGGUGCUUGCUUGAUCUUGGACGAGGUGUAACAUUUGUUUUGUUUGGAAAUUUGAGGUUUCCUCCAACACUUGGUCUAA